rnacentral:rRNA from 1 species
AACGUAGGGGGCAAGCGUUGCCCGGAUUCACUGGGCGUAAAGCGGGUGUAGGCGGUCCUCUAAGUCAGAUGUGAAAUCCUACGGCUCAACCGUGGAACUGCAUCUGAUACUGGAGGACUUGAGGACGGUAGAGGUCGGUGGAAUUCCCGGUGUACCGGUGAAAUGGGCAGAUAUCGGGAGGAACACCAGUGGCGAAGGCGGCCGACUGGGCCGAUCCUGACGCUGAGACCCGAAAGCUAGGGUAGCGAACCGGAUUAGAUACCCGGGUAGUCCUAGCCGUAAACGGUGCGAACUAGGUGUGGGGGACCUUUAGGUCUUCCGUGCCGAAGCUAACGCAUUAAGUUCGCCGCCUGGGGAGUACGGCCGCAAGGCUAAA